rnacentral:rRNA from 1 species
GUUGGUGAGGUAACGGCUCACCAAGGCAACGAUGCGUAGCCGACCUGAGAGGGUGAUCGGCCACAUUGGAACUGAGACACGGUCCAGACUCCUACGGGAGGCAGCAGUGGGGAAUAUUGCGCAAUGGGGGAAACCCUGACGCAGCCACGCCGCGUGAGUGAUGAAGGUUUUCGGAUCGUAAAACUCUGUCUUUAGGGACGAUAAUGACGGUACCUAAGGAGGAAGCCACGGCUAACUACGUGCCAGCAGCCGCGGUAAUACGUAGGUGGCAAGCGUUGUCCGGAUUUACUGGGCGUAAAGAGUAUGUAGGUGGGUGCUUAAGUCAGAUGUGAAAUUCCCGGGCUCAACCUGGGAGCUGCAUUUGAAACUGGGCAUCUAGAGUGCAGGAGAGGAAAGUGGAAUUCCUAGUGUAGCGGUGAAAUGCGUAGAGAUUAGGAAGAACACCAGUGGCGAAGGCGACUUUCUGGACUGUAACUGACACUGAGAUACGAAAGCGUGGGUAGCAAACAGGAUUAGAUACCCUGGUAGUCCACGCCGUAAACGAUGAAUACUAGGUGUCGGGGGGUACCACCCUCGGUGCCGCAGCAAACGCAUUAAGUAUUCCGCCUGGGGAGUACGGUCGCAAGAUUAAAACUCAAAGGAAUUGACGGGGACCCGCACAAGCAGCGGAGCAUGUGGUUUAAUUCGAAGCAACGCGAAGAACCUUACCUAGACUUGACAUCUCCUGAAUUACUCUUAAUCGAGGAAGUCCCUUCGGGGACAGGAAGACAGGUGGUGCAUGGUUGUCGUCAGCUCGUGUCGUGAGAUGUUGGGUUAAGUCCCGCAACGAGCGCAACCCUUAUUGUUAGUUGCUACUAUUAAGUUAAGCACUCUAACGAGACUGCCGCGGUUAACGUGGAGGAAGGUGGGGAUGACGUCAAAUCAUCAUGCCCCUUAUGUCUAGGGCUACACACGUGCUACAAUGGCUGGUACAA